GGGGUCGUAGUUUAGCUUGGUAGAAUGCGCGGCUUGGGACCGCGUGGUCCCAGGUUCAAAUCCUGGCGACCCCA
rnacentral:tRNA from 2 species